CCCCUUCCCAUCCCGAACAGGACCGUGAAACGACUCCACGCCGAUGAUAGUGCGGAUUCCCGUGUGAAAGUAGGUAAUCGUCAGGC
rnacentral:rRNA from 1 species